rnacentral:rRNA from 1 species
GACAGAGGGUGCAAGCGUUAAUCGGAAUUAUUGGGCGUAAAGCGCGCGUAGGCGGCUGCUUAAGUCGGAUGUGAAAUCCCCGGGCUUAACCUGGGAACUGCAUUCGAUACUGAGCAGCUAGAGUAUGAGAGAGGGAGGUAGAAUUCCACGUGUAGCGGUGAAAUGCGUAGAUAUGUGGAGGAAUACCGGUGGCGAAGGCGGCCUCCUGGCUUAAUACUGACGCUGAGGUGCGAAAGCGUGGGGAGCAAACAGG